AUCUGGGCGGCGGAAUUCAGGAUGGCUGACGUGCCUUCGCGGUACGUCGGUCGUUUGAUAUUUCCGUCGCCAACAACCGCAGACGUCGCGACCUGUUCGCGGUCGGUCCCUGCUCGGAGGAGCCGCGUUCGAGCUCGUUGUGUGCGCGUUUCGGCGUGUCACACGGCGAAGGCGCGGAUCUCUGGCUGGCCGUCGGACAGUAUGCUUAACGGUGUCCGGUGUCGUCGUUUCGUACGCGCGGCAUCGGUACCGGUCAGCGACGAAUUCUUCGGGCCUCUUUCCGACCCGUCUUGAAACACGGACCAAGGAGUCUAACAUGCGCGCGAGUCGCGGGGUAUCGAGCGUACUUCGGUGCGUUCGUUAUGUUGCGAAACCCGUACAUGUCGAAGGCGUAAUGAAAGUGAAUGGGGAAGAUGGUGUUCCGAGUUCACGUUCCGCGAUCAUCGGUAUCGCGGCCGGACGCCCGCAUUCCCGGGGCGUCUCAACGGCCCGUCGCUGAUGCGGACUGUCGUCCUUCGGGGCGGCUGUCGGUCGGCGACGAACCGA
rnacentral:rRNA from 1 species